rnacentral:rRNA from 1 species
GACGAACGCUGGCGGCGUGCUUAACACAUGCAAGUCGAACGGAAAGGCUCCAGCUUGCUGGAGUACUCGAGUGGCGAACGGGUGAGUAACACGUGGGUAAUCUGCCCUGCACUCUGGGAUAAGCCUGGGAAACUGGGUCUAAUACUGGAUAUGACCUUUCUCCUUAUGGGGUUUGGUGGAAAGUUUUUCGGUGUAGGAUGAGCCCGCGGCCUAUCAGCUUGUUGGUGGGGUGAUGGCCUACCAAGGCGACGACGGGUAGCCGGCCUGAGAGGGUGAUCGGCCACAUUGGGACUGAGAUACGGCCCAGACUCCUACGGGAAGCAGCAGUGGGGAAUAUUGCACAAUGGGCGGAAGCCUGAUGCAGCGACGCCGCGUGAGGGAUGACGGCCUUCGGGUUGUAAACCUCUUUCAGCAGGGACGAAGCGUAAGUGACGGUACCUGCAGAAGAAGCACCGGCUAACUAUGUG